rnacentral:rRNA from 1 species
UACAGAGGGUGCGAGCGUUAAUCGGAAUUACUGGGCGUAAAGCGCGCGUAGGCGGCUUUGCAAGUCGGGUGUGAAAUCCCCAGGCUUAACCUGGGAACUGCAUUCGAGACUGCAUUGCUAGAGUAUGGGAGAGGGAAGUGGAAUUUCCGGUGUAGCGGUGAAAUGCGUAGAUAUCGGAAGGAACAUCAGUGGCGAAAGCGACUUCCUGGACCAAUACUGACGCUCAUGUGCGAAAGCUUGGGGAGCAAACAGG